UUCCGAAAGAUAAGAUUAAUGAUCUAGAAAAUUAUCCUUUCGCGCAUCUGAGUUUAAUGUGUCUUCGCUGCUGCUGUUGUCACGUCAGGAAAAAUAAACACGAGGCAUUUGCGGACCCGCACGGUUCUGGAAAAACCUUCGUGAUUAGGCCAGAAAAGCCAUAAAUGGCAAUAACAGGAAUUAAAAAUAAUCUCUCCUAGACCGACAACUACUUAAGCGGUGAAGCUCGACAAAGUAUCAAGGACAAACAUCUUUAUUCCACCGGACAAACACGGGAGCAGUUCCAGCGCUAAACCGCUGGGCCGGGACCCAGCACUACUUCGUCAACAGCAGCAGCGGUAAACAUAAUUCUGGUGUGAAAAAAACUUGUUCAGUCCUCAUCCAUGAUUGCGACCACAGACACCAGCAGCUACCGAUCAUAUCGCCAUCAUCACCGUCAGUGGCAAAAGCAGCACCACCAAAUACAACAUCAGCCGGAAGCGUUCCCUCGCACCACAACCCGUUUUCCGGUGGAAGAUAACGUAGCAAUAUAUUCCGCGGAAAAAUAAGUGCCGCAGUCAAUUCAAGUCAGAAUAAAAACCCGAGGCAUGUGGACCCGUAAGAUUCCGAAAAAGUGAUGAGCUCGACAAAGUACAGGAUGCAAUGAAAAACUCCAUCAUCCGGUCGGACAAAUACCGGAGCAGUUCCAGCACCAAAAAGGUGAACAUUGAGCCGGAACAACCAGUAUUACUUCAUCACAAGCCGCAGAACAUUACUCUGGCGGAAGAACCUCAUUUAGUUCCUCAGCCACGAUUGCGACAACCGACAACUGCCGCCGCUUAUCGUACCGCCAACACCACCACCAGCGUCAACAGCAGUACUACCGAAUCUAACAUCAGACAUUCGUCGGAAGCGUUCCUUCGCAUUAAUACCCGCUUUCCGGCGGAAGAAACCAUCUACACCGUAAGAAACGAAUCAGUUCAGCAGCAGCAGCGGCCAGUCCAGCAUCUGCCUCGAGGAGUCAGUUUUCUUCUCCCACAACAGAAGCGCACCAGGCGGCAGUUGGAAAAAAGAAGUUCGCUCACAAAAUCUUUCGCGCCACCGGUCAUUGCACAAGCAAACGGAAGCAGCAUCGAAAACAGCAAAAAUUCUCACUGGUUGUAACUACAGGAAUAACCCGAAAGGAGCGAACUCUGAUGUUUGAACCAGUUCUUCAUAGGAUCCCCCGUAAUCAGUAUUGAUAUUUUGCCCGCAGAACCUUCUGGCUGGAAGUGAACUGGAGAUAGACAUGCCGAAAAAUUUGUUCCGGGUUCAAUGACAUAAGUGUCCCCGGAUGAUGAGAUUUGAAAAAAAAGUUCCCCCGCGAAAUACUUCCAGCACCGUGGGUCGAAGGAAUCAGUGUGACGUGGAAAAAAAAUAAUACAAUGGCAACAUCUGCAAUGCAACGCAACGAGAAGCUGUGACAAACCUGGGUCGAAACUGGAGGGAUCUGUUUUUGAAGUUUGGAUCGUCGCCAGAUUGACUAUUCAGUCUUUUUCGUGGGUGAGAUGGGACAAAAAUGUUAACAUGAGGUGCCCUUAAACAACAAAGAAUGUUAUCGAAAGUGGACUUGAUGAUUAAAGAACCAACAAUGGAAACAUCACCUUCGACUAAACAGGAACGAUAUUUUCCGCACUAUUAACGGGAUAUUAAAACCCUUUUAUCGCCUUGUUCCCUUCCGGCUAAGGUUGACACAAAAAAGUUGCCAACAAAUUAAGAAACUGGAGCCAG